AACUCUCUCUUUGUUUUAAUUUUGCAUACUGUUUUAUAAGCGACAUUCAAACUCAAUACCCAUUAUCACGUAUUAGGACGUAUUGAAAAUGGAAACUGGACCAUUGUUGUAACUUGAAAAAUACCGAGAAAGAAUUUCGUUCUCUGGUGUUGGGUUGUGUAAAAUGUUUUUGAAGAUACAUAUUUAUUCCUUAAUUUUCUUUAGUUUUUUUAUCCCCCCCUUUUACUAUAAAAUGUAAACAUUUACCAAUUAACCCAUUAUGUGUACAGUUAGUGUGGCAUUAAGUACAUUCACAACCCUUACCUUUUAUAUGUGUAAAUAUAGAGGUUUGUGUAAUACAGUUUCUUUUAACAACAUAGUAGUAUCAGUAGGAUACAGGUUUUGAGAUUUCAUGGGGUCGAUUUGUUUUUUUCAGUACAGUGGGGGGCUCUGCAGGUUAAUUUGCUCAUGAGUCUUUCAGGAUUGUGAGCCUCAGGCCCUCCUCAUCAAUAUGUAGGAAAGGAUUGUGCAGACUCAUCUUGUAUAUUUGCUGCCAUAGACAUGUAACCAAAUAUUACUUCAGGAGCCUUUCUUUUUAGUGGGGGGAAAAAUGACAUUUUGAUGAGAUUAUAAUCCGAGUAUCUUAGAAAGUGUCAUAUAUAUAAUUUUAAGUGCUGCCUUCCCCGGUAGAAUAGGAGGUCUGUUCUUUAAAAUAAAAAGAUCGCGUAAUUAAAAAUGGUGUUUUUUAAAAAAAAUUCUUUCAUUUCGAUUUGAGGUUUUGAUAUAAUUUUUAAUGUCCACUUGUACCCUACUCUACCUUUAGUGUUUCAUAAUUGACCUGUAGCUUUCUCUGAAUAUGCAUAAAAGCUGUUAGAAAAUACAGUUGACUUGGAACAACAUGGGUUUGAACUGCAUUGGUUCACCUAUAUGCAGAUUUUUUCCAGUAAAUAUCUCCACGUUUUACAUCCUUGGAUUCAACCAACUGCAGAUCAAGAACAGUAUUUUCAUUUGGCGGUUGGGGGUCUGCAGAUGCAGAAGGCCAACUAUAUGCAUUGUUUUUUGCCAAUUUACAUAAGAGACUUGAGCAUUCUGAGUUUUCUUAUCUGUAGGGUCCUGGAACCCAUCGCUUUUGCAUAUCGAGAGAUGACUGUAGUUAAGUUUUUGGGGAGUCACAAGUUAUAUGUGGAUUUUUACUGCUGAGGGGUUGGUGCCUCUACCCACCCUCCCAGUUGUUCAAGGGUCAGCUGUAUUAUUAAAACCAGAUUUACCUUUACUUUGUUGCCAUCUGGGUCUUUAAACUUGGGUGCUUAUUCUUUCUAAACUAAUAGCAGUGAAUACAUAUGAAUUUUGUUAGCACUUUGUUAGGGCCUCAGGCUGUUCUUUAGUUAUUAAUUAUUUAGUGGAAUGGCUUUUCUUCAUGACUUAGAACUUUGGUUACUCUUUAAAGUAAAUUGAAUCUAAGAGCUUAUUUUUUGACUGUGUAAUAUUUAGUCACAGGACUUAGAAAUAGGAAGACAGAACAGCAGCAGUUUACCGUAUGAAAUCUGUUGCACAGUCUGAGGAACUAGCUUGUGUGUUUGAUUAAUUCAAGCAGGAAGGUUGACGCAGAAAUGUCCAGGAGGAGUCCCUACUGCUUGGAUUCGUGAAAGUACAGUUUAUAGAUUUUUUUUUCCUUAGAGUUGGAAUCAGUGG